GACGAACGCUGGCGGCGUGCUUAACACAUGCCAGUCGAACGGUGAAGCUCCAGCUUGCUGGUGUGGAUCAGUGGCGAACGGGUGAGUAACACGUGAGCAACCUGCCCCUGACUCUGGAAUAAGCGCUGGAAACGGCGUCUAAUACUGGAUACGAGAAGGGUCCGCAUGGGCACUUUCUGGAAAGUUUUUCGGUUGGGGAUGGGCUCGCGGCCUAUCAGCUUGUUGGUGAGGUAACGGCUCACCAAGGCGACGACGGGUAGCCGGCCUGAGAGGGCGACCGGCCACACUGGGACAGGGACAGGGCCCAGACGCAUACGGGAGGAAGGAGUGGGGAAUAUUGCACAAUGGGCGAAAGCCUGAUGCAGCGACGCCGGGUGAGGGAGGACGGCCUUCGGGUGGUAAACGUCUUUCAGCAGGGAAGAAGCGAAAGUGACGGUACCUGAAGAAGAAGCACCGGCUAACUACGU
rnacentral:rRNA from 1 species